GAUGAACGCUGGCGGCGUGCCUAAUACAUGCAAGUCGAGCGAACGGACGAGAAGCUUGCUUCUCUGAUGUUAGCGGCGGACGGGUGAGUAACACGUGGAUAACCUACCUAUAAGACUGGGAUAACUUCGGGAAACCGGAGCUAAUACCGGAUAAUAUUUUGAACCGCAUGGUUCAAAAGUGAAAGACGGUCUUGCUGUCACUUAUAGAUGGAUCCGCGCUGCAUUAGCUAGUUGGUAAGGUAACGGCUUACCAAGGCAACGAUGCAUAGCCGACCUGAGAGGGUGAUAGGCCACACUGGAACUGAGACACGGUCCAGACGCCUACGGGAGGCAGCAGUAGGGAAUCUUCCGCAAUGGGCGAAAGCCUGACGGAGCAACGCCGCGUGAGUGAUGAAGGUCUUCGGAUCGUAAAACUCUGUUAUUAGGGAAGAACAGAUGUGUAAGUAACUGUGCACAUCUUGACGGUACCUAAUCAGAAAGCAACGGCUAACUACGUG
rnacentral:rRNA from 1 species